rnacentral:rRNA from 1 species
UACAGAGGUCCCGAGCGUUGUUCGGAUUCAUUGGGCGUAAAGGGUGCGUAGGUGGCGCCGUAAGUGGGGUGUGAAAUCCCGGGGCUUAACCCCGGGACUGCAUUCCAUACUGCGGUGCUUGAGGACUGGAGAGGAGACUGGAAUUUACGGUGUAGCGUGAAAUGCGUAGAGAUCGUAAGGAAGACCAGUGGCGAAGGCGGGUCUCUGGACAGUUCCUGACGCUGAGGCACGAAGGCCAGGGGAGCAAACGGG